CCUACGGGCGGCUGCAGUGGGGAAUAUUGCACAUUGGGCGCAAGCCUGAUGCAGCCAUGCCGCGUGUGUGAAGAAGGCCUUCGGGUUGUAAAGCACUUUCAGCGGGGAGGAAGGCGGCGAGGUUAAUAACCUCAUCGAUUGACGUUACCCGCAGAAGAAGCACCGGCUAACUCCGUGCCAGCAGCCGCGGUAAUACGGAGGGUGCAAGCGUUAAUCGGAAUUACUGGGCGUAAAGCGCACGCAGGCGGUCUGUCAAGUCGGAUGUGAAAUCCCCGGGCUCAACCUGGGAACUGCAUUCGAAACUGGCAGGCUAGAGUCUUGUAGAGGGGGGUAGAAUUCCAGGUGUAGCGGUGAAAUGCGUAGAGAUCUGGAGGAAUACCGGUGGCGAAGGCGGCCCCCUGGACAAAGACUGACGCUCAGGUGCGAAAGCGUGGGGAGCAAACAGGAUUAGAUACCCGUGUAGUC
rnacentral:rRNA from 1 species